CCCUAUAGGUAGAGAGCUGCUAG
rnacentral:piRNA from 1 species